rnacentral:rRNA from 1 species
UGAUCAGUCAGACUGGAACUGAGACACGGUCCAGACUCCUACAGGAGGCAGCAGUGAGGAAUCUUCCACAAUGGGGGAAACCCUGAUGGAGCAACUCCGCGUGCAGGAUGAAGGCCUUCGGGUCGUAAACUGCUUUUAUGAGUGAAGAAUAUGACGGUAACUCAUGAAUAAGGGUCGGCUAACUACGUGCCAGCAGCCGCGGUCAUACGUAGGACCCAAGCGUUAUCCGGAGUGACUGGGCGUAAAGAGUAGCGUAGGUGGUUAGUAAAGUGAAUAGUGAAACCUGGUGGCUCAACCAUACAGACUAUUAUUCAAACUCACUAACUCGAGAAUGGUAGAGGUAACUGGAAUUUCUAGUGUAGGAGUGAAAUCCGUAGAUAUUAGAAGGAACACCAAUGGCGUAGGCAGGU